rnacentral:rRNA from 1 species
UACGUAGGCAGCAAGCGUUGUUCGGAGUUACUGGGCGUAAAGAGUGAGUAGGCGGUCCUGUAAGUUUGGUGUGAAAUCUCCCGGCUCAACUGGGAGGGUGCGCCGAAGACUGCAGGGCUUGAGUAUGGGAGAGGUAAGCGGAAUUCCUGGUGUAGCGGUGAAAUGCGUAGAUAUCAGGAGGAACACCUGUGGUGUAGACAGCUUACUGGACCAUAACUGACGCUGAGGCACGAAAGCGUGGGUAGCAAACAGG